rnacentral:tRNA from 1 species
GGCUCAGUGGUAGAGCGCCCGCUUUGCAGAUCCAUCUCGAAUGCGGGAGGUCUAGGGUUCGAUCCCCUA